CCUACGGGUGGCAGCAGUGAGGAAUAUUGGUCAAUGGCCGAGAGGCUGAACCAGCCAAGUCGCGUGAGGGAAGACGGCCCUACGGGGUGUAAACCUCUUUUGUCGGGGAGCAAAGCGAGUCACGUGUGACUCAUGGAGAGUACCCGAAGAAAAAGCAUCGGCAAACUCCGGGCCAGCAGCCGCGGUGAUACGGAGGAGGCGAGCGUUAUCCGGAUUUAUUGGGUUUAAGGGGGGCGCAGGGGGACUGUUAAGUCAGCGGUCAAAGCCCGGGGCACAACCCCGGACCGCCGUUGAAACUGGCAGUCUCGAGUUGGAGAGAAGUAUGCGGAAUGCGCGGUGUAGCGGUGAAAUGCAUAGAUAUCGCGCAGAACUCCGAUUGCGAAGGCAGCAUGCCGGCUCCACACUGACGCUGAGGCACGAAAGCGUGGGUAUCGAACAGGAUUAGAUACCCGAGUAGUC
rnacentral:rRNA from 1 species